rnacentral:rRNA from 1 species
UACGGGGGGGCAAGCGUUGUUCGGAAUUAUCUGGGCGUAAAGGGCUCGAUAGGCGGCCAACUAAGUCAGAUCGUGAAAUCCCUCGGCUUAACCGGGGAACGUGCGUCUGAUACUGGAUGGCUUGAGUUUGGGAGAGGGAUGCGGAAUUCCAGGGUGUAGCGGUGAAAUGCGUAGAUAUCUGGAGGAACACCGGUGGCGAAGGCGGCAUCCUGGACCAACACUGAACGGCUGAGUGAGCGAAAGCCAGGGGAGCAAACGGG